rnacentral:tRNA from 1 species
CGGGGUGUAGCGCAGUCUGGUAGCGCACUUGGUUUGGGACCAAGUUGUCGGGGGUUCAAAUCCCUCCACCCCGACCA